rnacentral:rRNA from 1 species
CCCUUAGAUGUUCUGGGCCGCACGCGCGCUACACUGACGAAGGCAACGAGCUACUCUUCACCGAAAGGUGUGGGUAAUCUUUUGAAACUUCGUCGUGCUGGGGAUAGAUCCUUGCAAUUUUUGAUCUUAAACGAGGAAUUCCUAGUAAGCGCAAGUCAUCAACUUGCGUUGAUUACGUCCCUGCCCUUUGUACACACCGCCCGUCGCUACUACCGAUUGAAUGGUUUAGUGAGGCCUUCGGAUCCGCGAUUUUAUUGUGGAGAAGUUGGACAAACUCAGUCAUUUAGAGGAAGUAAAAGUCGUAACA